GUGCUCAUUUUGACAGCACAUAUACUGCAAUUGGAAUGAUACAGAGAAGAUUAACAUGGCCCCUGUGCAAGGAUGACAUGAAAAUUUGUGAAGCGUACCAUUUUUUU